rnacentral:rRNA from 1 species
CCUACGGGAGGCAGCAGUGAGGAAUAUUGGUCAAUGGACGCAAGUCUGAACCAGCCAUGCCGCGUGCAGGAUGACGGCUCUAGGAGUUGUAAACUGCUUUUGUACAGGGGUAAACGCAGAUACGCGUACCUUUAUGACAGUAUCGUACGAAUAAGGAUCGGCUAACUCCGUGCCAGCAGCCGCGGUAAUACGGAGGAUUCAAGCGUUAUCCGGAUUUAUUGGGUUUAAAGGGUGCGUAGGCGGUCUGUUAAGUUAGAGGUGAAAUCCCGCGGCUCAACUUUGGAAUUGCCUGUGAUACUGUUCGGCUAGAGAGUAGUUGCGGUAGGCGGAAUGUAUGGUGUAGCGGUGAAAUGCUUAGAGAUCAUACAGAACACCGAUUGCGAAGGCAGCUUACCAGGCUACUUCUGACGUUGAGGCACGAAAGCGUGGGGAGCAAACAGGAUUAGAUACCCUUGUAGUC